ensembl:ncRNA ZC317.8 ncRNA
GACAAUAAUAUUAAUAGUAAUUGGGAAAUAAUAUCAAUAGGACGAUGCAUUCAUUCACAAAUGAGGCUCGUUGAGGCGAAUAGGGUAGGAAAAUUGAAUGGGGGGAAAACCAGAGAAUGAGAAAGGGUGUGAAAAUAAUUAUGUUUUCUUCUGAAUGAAUACUCUAUUGGCUCCUCUUUUCUUUUUUGCCGCAUUUUUUUUUCAGAUUGGUAUUUAC